UCGUCAAUCCCCUCCUCUGUCCCUUCCGUGUUCUUCACGAACACAGGUGCCCCGAUCCAAAUCCCGAUCGAUUCGGCUCGGUCUUUGCCCCUCGCGCACGCCCGCCUCCCUAUAAAUACUGCCCUCCUCCUCAUCCGAUUUUCGCAAAAAUUUGGAAGUUCCCGUGCCCGUUUCGUGCGGAUCCGAUCUCGUCGGAGUUCUCAGCCUGGAGCUCCUUUGCUGCACGAUUCCAGCAACCAACCUUUCUGGAUCGAGCUCCUGGACGACUCUCGCAUCUCACCGGGGCCACUGCUCCUCCAGACGUUCGUCACCAUCGCCACAGGCCUCCCUCGAAGCUGACGAGGUCACCCUCGGGUUCGUCUUCAUGCUCCGCGCCCCGUCCGACCCUUCCCCGAGACCGACGACCACCAGGACGAGCAGUACGUCCACCUCCCGAUGCCACGCCACCUUCUUCCCCAACUCCGGCGGCCACCUCCACUGCGUCCCCGAGUUUCCGGAGUGCAAGGCUUGCUACUACGAAUCUGUAGGGUUUUCUGAUCGUCAGCAAG